rnacentral:lncRNA from 1 species
UGAAGUUUAAAAUUUAGAAAUAUAAAAUAACUAGAUUUCUUAGUUUUAAAAUGUUAAUAUAUUUAAGUUUUUUAGUUUCUUACAUUCUUAAAUUCUAAUUAAUAGUUUUAAAAUUUUUUUAAAAAAAUUACAUUCUUUUAAAACCUAACUAAAACCAAAACCCAUUUUUUAAAAAACCUAACUAAACCCUAAACCCAUUUCCCACCACAUAAUUAACCCAAAAAUUUUCCCUCCUAAACCCAAAACCCAUUUCCCUAUACACCCAAAAUUUUCCCUCUUAACUAAAGCCCAAUUUCUAUACUUAGCCAAAUUUUCCCCUCUAAACCUAAGAGUUUGUCGUGUCUCUC